AGUGAACGCUGGCGGCGUGACUAAUCCAUGCAAGUCGAACGAAGUGGCGCACGGGUGGGUAAUAUAUAGUUACUCUGCCCUACACAGAGGAAACACAGUUGGAAACGACUGCUAAUACCUCAUAGUUUAGGAUGAGACUAUAUCGUAUCAGCUAGUUGGUAAGGUAAUGGCUUACCAAGGGUAUGACGCGUAACUGGUCUGAGAGGAUGAUCAGUCACAUUUGAACUGAGACACAGUCCAAACUACUACGGGAGGCAGCAGUAAGGAAUAUUGCGCAAUGAGGGAAACCCUGACUCUGCUACGCGUCGUGGGCGUUGACUCUUUUCGGGGCAUAGACUGUUUUUAUCAGGCACGUGGUACCUGUCGAAUAAGCACCUGCUCACUCCGUGCCAGCAGCCGCGGUAAUUC
rnacentral:rRNA from 1 species